AGAUUGAACGCUGGCGGCAGGCCUAACACAUGCAAGUCGAGCGGCAGCACGGGUACUUGUACCUGGUGGCGAGCGGCGGACGGGUGAGUAAUGCCGUAGGAAUCUGCCUGGUAGUGGGGGAUAACGCUCGGAAACGGACGCUAAUACCGCAUACGUCCUACGGGAGAAGGCAGGGGACCUUCGGGCCUUGCGCUAUCAGAUGAGCCUAGGUCGAUUAGCUAGUGUGAGGUAAUGGCUCACCAAGGCGACGAUCCGUAACUGGUCUGAGAGGAUGAUCAGUCACACUGGAACUGGGACACGGUCCAGACUCCUACGGGAGGCAGCAGUGGGAAUAUGGACAAUGGGCAAAGCCUGAUCGAGCCAUGACGCGUGUGUGGAAGAAGGUCUUACGGAUUAGUAA
rnacentral:rRNA from 1 species